UCAUUUCCACCCCUACUGUCGUCUUCAUCCUCGAUUCGGUCGACGGUCCCAAAUCCAAGUCGGCGAUGGUGAAUGAAGCAUCCUCCUUUUUCUGUUCUGUUUGAUUUCUCUGUUUUCCCCAGAUUUGUUCAUAGAAUAACCCUUGGGUCAGGGGAUCUUAGUCUAUCGUUCCUUUUUUUGUUGCAAUGGGUUAGGAGUGUUUUAAUGAUUAAUUUGUCAUUUACUAAACAAACUUCAGAUACGUAGCUUUUGGUCCCAUGCCGGGCACCGUGAAGGAAUUCCCUUUUUGUGCUAAUAAAACUAGAGUAUAUCCUCUCAUUUCUGCGUCAAUUUGAGGAGUACGUACAUAUUAUUAUCAUUGAUUCUUUCAUUGACAUAGAAUAAGCCACAUUAUGUCCCUUUUUCUACAUUGAAUGUUCAUCUGUGCUCAAGGCCUUGAUGCCUUCCAUCUGCAUGAGCAGAAUGAAGAAAUUUUGGCCAAAAUGUGCUUGCAUGCAUAUGCUCUAGGAGGUUUAUAAUCAAGGAUAAUUUUCUGGAACCGUGAAAAGGAGCUCAGUCCAUUGAUUAAGGUUUCAAGCAGAUUUAAGGAAUUUUCCUCUAACAUAAGUUAUCUUUGUUAGGCAUCUUGAUAAUUUUGUCAGAUGGCAAGAGGACCUCUAGAAUACAAGAUGGUCCGUAUUUUCAUGUAUAAGGAUUAAGGAAUGAUGAAAAUAUCAUCUGUUUGAAAUGUACAGUUGUUACACCAAUCCUUAUGUGGUAUCAUGGCCACUAAACAUCAUGAAGCAAGCCACUACGGGUACACACGAGCUGAACUGAGCAACAACUUGAGCAUCUUCCCUCCCUAGCCAUUGCAUAUCACACUCACACACUGUCAGCAUGCAUCAUGAUUUAUGAGAUUCAGUGGUCCUUUAUUCCAACAGUUUCCCCCUUGUCUUCUAUAUUUAUUUGAUACCAACUAAGUUGGUUUAGGUGUCACAAUAUUUGCUUAUUUCCAUUUUUUGUUUCAUGCAGCAAGGGACACUCAAAUUCUGAUCUUGAAGCAGUUCUUAGAUGAGAAGGCGAAGAAUAAGUAGAGAAAAUGAAUCAUUAGCAGAAUUAUGAUGGUCUAACUUGUUCAAAACUGCCAAAGUUUAGCUCCUAUGUACACCAAACCAGAAAUCCCUAUAGUUCUCACAUGUGUUACAUUGACCAAGUUAGUAUAAAAACACCAAUAUUUGUGGUAGUUCAUGCCUGUGUUUGUGGUAGUUUUUGUCGUAUGUGUUGUUUAUGUUAUCAGAGAACUCUGUCGCUCUAUAA